rnacentral:rRNA from 1 species
GAUGAACGCUGGCGGCGUGCCUAAUACAUGCAAGUCGAGCGAACAGAUAAGGAGCUUGCUCCUUUGACGUUAGCGGCGGACGGGUGAGUAACACGUGGGUAACCUACCUAUAAGACUGGAAUAACUCCGGGAAACCGGGGCUAAUGCCGGAUAACAUGUUGAACCGCAUGGUUCUACAGUGAAAGGCGGCUUUGCUGUCACUUAUAGAUGGACCCGCGCCGUAUUAGCUAGUUGGUGAGGUAACGGCUCACCAAGGCAACGAUACGUAGCCGACCUGAGAGGGUGAUCGGCCACACUGGAACUGAGACACGGUCCAGACUCCUACGGGAGGCAGCAGUAGGGAAUCGUCCGCAAUGGGCGAAAGCCUGACGGAGCAACGCCGCGUGAGUGAUGAAGGUCUUCGGAUCGUAAAACUCUGUUAUUAGGGAAGAACAAAUGCGUAAGUAACUGUGCGCGUCUUGACGGUACCUAAUCAGAAAGCCACGGCUAACUACGUG